rnacentral:rRNA from 1 species
UACGGAGGGUGCGAGCGUUGUUCGGAAUCACUGGGCGUAAAGCGCGUGUAGGCGGCCUUUUAAGUCUGAUGUGAAAGCCCGGGGCUUACCCCCGGAAGUGCAUUGGAAACUGGAAGGCUGGAGUACCGGAGAGGAAGGUGGAAUUCCUGGUGUAGCGGUGAAAUGCGUAGAUAUCAGGAGGAACAUCAGUGGCGAAAGCGGCUUCCUGGUCCAGUACCGACGUUCAGGCACGAAAGCGUGGGGAGCAAACAGG